GGAAUCUUGCACAAUGGAGGAAACUCUGAUGCAGCGAUGCCGCGUGAGUGAAGAAGGCCUUUGGGUUGUAAAGCUCUUUUGUAGGGGAAGAUAAUGACUGUACCCUAAGAAUAAGGUCCGGCUAACUUCGUGCCAGCAGCCGCGGUAAUACGAAGGGACCUAGCGUAGUUCGGAAUUACUGGGCGUAAAGCGCGCGUAGGCCGUUGAGUUAGUUAAUCGUGAAAUCCCAAAGCUUAACUUUGGAACUGCAAUUAAAACUGCUCGACUAGAAUUUGAUAGAGGAAAGCGGAAUACAUAGUGUAGAGGUGAAAUUCGUAGAUAUUAUGUAGAACACCAGUUGCGAAGGCGGCUUUCUGGAUCAACACUGACGCUGAGGCGCGAAAGUAUGGGUAGCAAAGAGGAUUAGAUACCCUCGUAGUCCAUACCAUAAACGAUGAUUGCUAGAUGUUGGAAAUUUAUUUUCAGUAUCGCAGCUAACGCAUUAAGCAAUCCGCCUGGGGAGUACGACCGCGAGGUUAAAACUCAAAUGAAUUGACGG
rnacentral:rRNA from 1 species